GACGAACGCUGGCGGCGUGCUUAACACAUGCAAGUCGAACGAUGAAGCUGGAGCUUGCUCCGGUGGAUUAGUGGCGAACGGGUGAGUAACACGUGAGAAAUCUGCCCCUGACUCUGGGAUAACUGCGGGAAACUGUAGCUAAUACCGGAUACUUUCCCUGGUGGGCAUCCACUGGGGAAGAAAGAAUUUCGGUCAGGGAGGAUCUCGCGGCCUAUCAGCUAGUUGGUGAGGUAACGGCUCACCAAGGCGACGACGGGUAACCGGCCUGAGAGGGUGACCGGUCACACUGGGACUGAGACACGGCCCAGACUCCUACGGGAGGCAGCAGUGGGGAAUAUUGCACAAUGGGCGCAAGCCUGAUGCAGCAACGCCGCGUGAGGGAUGAAGGCCUUCGGGUUGUAAACCUCUUUUAGCAGGGAAGAAGCGAAAGUGACGGUACCUGCAGAAAAAGCACCGGCUAACUACGUG
rnacentral:rRNA from 1 species